UUUUUUAUGAAUGUAAUGAGCCUAUCUUCUCUUCUUUGUUCAUAUUCCAAAAAGAUAUCGAAACUAAUGUAAGACCAAAAUAGUCGGAGGACUCUUCUGACAAACUCAAAAAUAUGUAAUUGUCAGCAAAGUUGUUUCUUUUUUUUUCAAAUCCAAAAAGUUCUUCUUACUUAGAAUAGGUCGUCGAUUCAGCAUUAGAUAAAGGGGGUAAAAUCCCUGUUUUUACAAUUUACAAUAAGCGGUUAAAAUCAUUUUAUCAAUAUGAGUAUCCUAUAUCGAUAAAAUAUUUAUUUUGAAACCACCUCUAACAUAGUGGUAGAAAGAGUACCAUGCUGCGUCUAGACUUCAAACAGUUUGUUUUAACCAUGUUAAUAGUUCCACAUUAUUGGUUAAUAGAGAAUCAAAAUAAAUUUACCAAUGAAUCGCGAAAUGCUAUGGUUCUUACAUAUAAUUUAUGAAUUUAUACAGAAGUAAUUCGCGAGAUCAUGCACCUCUCUUUCCUACUUAUAACGGAAAAGGGUACAGUUGGUUGGUCCAACCUAUUCUUGAAAUAAACAACUCGCACACACUCCCUUUCCAAAAAAAAUCAAUACACCAAGCACUACACUUAGAUUUAUUGGAUUUGUUGCUAAAAUAUCGGUAUUAAACCCGAAACUCCCGGCAGAUGGCCAGUGGCCCAAAGAAACGAAAGAAUCGGUUACGUUUUUCAUAUGAUCUCCUCUUAUAGAUAGACUAAAAAAUCGAACAGAGUUCUUUUUGUAGCACUUCGCCCCUCUUUUUAUUUAUUCUUUUAUUUUUUCUGAAAUUGAGUAAAAAAAUAAAAAAUAUUCGAGUUAGUUAGAAAUUAUGAACUAAUGAACUAGCCCUUUUAUUGGUUAUUGGAACACUAACACUUACUAAAAAGAGUUUCCCUUGGUCUAUGAACGGGAAGGAUGAAAGCGAGUCAAGUAGGCUAAUUCCUCAUCCGCAAAUCAGCCCUUCCCCUAGGUUCUUUUCUCAAAGAAUAAAGAAUGGUAGGAGGGAAAUCUUGAUAGAAUUUGAAAAAGCAAACGACAAGUCGAAGGCAAUAAAAUAUGAAAAAUAUAUUUUUCAUAUUUCUAAGCUAAGAUUAAACAAAAGGAUUUGCAAAUAAAAGUGCUAAUGCUACAACCAGUCCAUAAAUUGUUAAAGCUUCCAUAAAAGCUAGACUAAGCAAUAGCGUACCUCGUAUUUUGCCCUCUGCCUCAGGCUGUCUCGCGAUACCCUCUACAGCUUGACCCGCAGCAGUCCCUUGACCAACUCCAGGUCCAAUAGAAGCAAGCCCUACGGCCAAUCCAGCAGCAAUAACGGAAGCGGCAGAAAUCAGUGGAUUCAUGAUAAGUUCCUCGUACCAAAAAAAGAAAUGGUUAAUGAUACAAUCAACCAAUGAAUUAUGACUUAAUUAUUCCCUCACUAGGACUCAUCCAGUCGAAGUAACUAAGAACUUCGGAUUGAAGUAAUAAGAUUCUUGAAUCAUCAAAACAACUUCGAUAUAUCUUUUUUACUUUUUAGCCACAGAGUCUUUGUGAACCCAUACGACUUUCAUUCUUCCAUUUCUUGUUCUUGGUUCGAACUGUUAGUUGAAUUAUUUCUUGAUUUCAUCCGUUUAGUCAUUCAAUUCACAGUCACAAGGGGCCGGAAGGACUUCUAGUCUAUUAGAAUCCCCUAGAAAAAUAUAUCUUUAUUAGUAGUUCAUUUCAUAUAUAACUAGCACUAGGCAAUAUCUAAUAUCACAUAUACAUGUCUUUCUUCCAUAACGUAAACCAAGCAUUCAUCUUAGAUUUAAUCCUAUUCGAGAAUCAAGCGUCGAAACAUCUAGAAGGGUUCGCUUAUAGUUAUUCAAGUACAGAUACCUCCCGCCCCUUUCUAAAAUACUAAAAAAAACUUUUGAAAAAUUCUUUUGAAUCUUACCUUUUCUUAUUAUUCCACCUAGAGAAAUCUAAAUGGACAAAUUGAUUAGGACGACAAAUUCCAUAGGUAUAGAAAUAUCAUUAUUUGAUUGAUCUAAGUUCAUGCACUUUAUUAAUAAAACUGAAUAAAAAAAUUAUUCAUUUUUAUUAUUUAUUUAUUAUUAAUAUUUUGGUGAAUCGUUGAAUAAAAUCAACUGAAAGGGAAAUCAUUUCGCCCUUUUUUUUUAUUUAAUUACACGUCGUAAACCUAUACAACAAGAAUUAUUGACAAAAAUUCUUAUAUUCAAAUUGUUUUAACAAUGAAUUAAUAAUGAGAUGGACUAAGCAAUCUAAAGUGAAUAUUCAUUGAGACGAAGUAUGAUAUUAAGUGAAGGAAAGGGGAAUUUUAGGAAAAAGAUCUAAAAACAAAGAUCUUUUUCCCCUUACUCUUUAAUAUCAUCGUAAUGUUUUUGCUAUCACUCUAGAUCGUAUAUAGCAUAGUUGUAUAUUUAGAUUCCCCUAUUCUAUUCCGUAAGUUAAGUAAUUCUCUUAAGCCACCCACCAUAUACAUUUAUACAUUGCUGUGGGCUAAG
rnacentral:lncRNA from 1 species